CGCCUGGAGGAUGAAAUCAUCUGAUUUGAAUGCAGUAGAGACAGAAGCUGGAGCAGGGACAAGAAAACAUCAAGAUGACGAACCGUGUAGAACAUUCACGUUUUUAGCAAAAGGUCUGACUCUGAAAGGAAUGCAGGGUGUGUGAUCAGAGCAAUAAAACUAGCUGAUCUGACUGGAGUAGUGGAAUGAGAAACCCACUCCCUGCAUGAAUUUGAAGCUUGCAUGAGGACUAGCUGGCACAAAUUAAUCCAGACAAGACUGACAUGUUGAUGGGACAGGAGAAGCAGAUGGGACAGAUAUCACCACCCUUACUGAGGAUAUUUGAGCACCAA